CGAACAUAGAAGCGAUAGCCGGCUGGCCUGCAGGUCAGCUCGCACUGCUUAUCCGCACCAACUGCAACACAGAUGAACAGGAUUCCCCCUCUACCCCCGGCCCCAUGGCUCAGUAGGCCAUCAGCAGCAAGUAACCCAAAGCCCUACCACCUUCAAAGUUAAGAUGUUCACAGGAGAUAGCUGAGAACAAAGGCUAAAGGUCAAAUACUUGUGUGUCCAAGAGAGAGUACAAACACCUGGCCAGGUAUAAUACAUGUGGUCAUUGCAAAUUAAGAGAGCAAACCUCUAGACAGAAGAGAAGAAUAAAAGGAAAACUGGACUUUUAAGAUGCCAUUUCAUUGUUUUGUUGGUUUCCAUUUCAGCAGGACAACGCCCAAACAGAAGGAUAAGCUGCAAAAGAGACUUGGAAUAUUUGAGUGGAAGUUUGGAAUGAACCAAGUAUCAACUUCCUGUAAAAAAAGGCCAGCUGUAGGCUUUCUUCAGCAGCUUCAUAAAAUACAUCAGCAUCAGGUUUUGAGGCAUGAAUCUCAUCAAAAGAUACCAUCUACAGGAGGAAAAAGGAAAGCCCCUUUGUGUUUAUGCAGACUGACUCCAGCUGAUACCCCGGCGAUGACUCCUGGUACAGCAUACAUGAUCUAGAUCUGCCAACAUUCCUGAAAACUGACCUUAGUCUGCUCUUAAUGACAAGACCAAAGAACAUCAAAACAGUCUGUAAGAUAUACUCCCUCAGUGUUGUGUAACCUUCUUGACUAUGACCUCUAACACAAGUAAUGGAAACAAGUUGUGUUAUCCAGCCAUUAUCUAUGAAUGCUUUCCUUUGCAGGACUGUAGAUGACACACACAGUCUGGGGAAGGUUGGAAUAGUUUUGGAGUAUCACAGUGUAGCAGCAUUGAUGUCUCCACAGUGGUUUAAGGAGACAGUUUGCCUUUGAUUAUUAAUAAUAAGUGAACACUGUAACAGCUGAGAGGAGAUAAAACUUCUUAUUAUUGUUAUUAUUAAUAACAAGUGAACACAACACAACUGUGUUUCUGGCUGUAAGUGUGUGGAACUAGUUAAGCACUGCCACCGACGGAAUAAAAAUAAUAAGAAAGAGAACAAAGAACACUGUCCAAAAGAAAGGGAAUGGAUUCCCCCCAAAAAUCAAGGUACAUUAUUGCGUUGGAGUUAAAAAUCUGUGGUAAAUAUUGACACAUAUUGACCACACAAUGAUCUUCCUCAGGGUCAAAAACAUUCUGGGAAGACCAGGUUGAUCUUGUUAUCAAUCAUGUGCCCGUGAUUAUACAAAAUACCUUGAGGGAAAACACAGGGGAAACAUGCAAACUCCUCAUAGAAAAGCUCCGGCCGGCCAGUGGAAAGUAGGACCCCUGCACCACUGUGCUGCAGUAAAUUAUGUUAUACCGUAAAACUGGAAACUGCAAAUUGAAGCAUGACAGACCGUAACAAGACUAAGAGUCCACAGCCACACUAGCGGCUCUGUGAGGCUGUACUUAUGCACAGCAGUGCUUUCAUCUAAAUGCUAAUAUAAGCAGGCUAAUGCUAACACGCAAGCAUAAUGUUUACCAUAUUAGUUUAGUGUGAUAGCAUGCUAACAUUUGCUAAAUAGCAAUAAACACAAAGCAUAGCUGAAGCUGAUGGAAAUGUAGUAACUUUAGCAGGUAUCUGAUCAUAAACCUAAACCUUGGACAAAUUAAAAUUUUGACCUGAUGGUUGCACAAGAGGUAAAGUCAGUGGACAUCCAGAAUCAUUAGGAUUCAUCCUCUGGUAACCACGAAUAUCUGUGCAAAAUUUCAUGGCAAUCCAUUGAGUAGAUGUUGAGAUAUGUAACAGGUUAAAAUUUUGACCCACUAGUGGAAAUAGAGGUAAAGUCAGUAGACCUCCAAAAUUAUUAGGCUUCAUCCACUGGGGACCAUGAAUAUCUGUAGCAAAUUUAAUGGCAAACCAUCCAAUAGUUGAGAUAUUUCAGUUUGGAUCAAAGUGUUGAACUUAUAGGCCGACAUUGCAACACUCAUGCAUGCUUUGAUGGAACUUAUUUCCAAGUUUUUAGUUGUAGUGUUGUAACAAAAACUACUGUGUAUUUUUAUUCCCCAUCAUGCUUCAGUUUUAUGUAUAAAGCCUUGUUUGUGUUACGUGCUCUACUGAUUCUGUGUUUUUUACCUUCAUUACCUGUUUUUUUAGUUUUUUUCCAAGA